AAACCGAGCGCAAUGGCGUUCUAGAAUUCAUAUAGCCGACUCCACUUAGUGGGAAAAGGCUUUGUUGUUAUUGUUGUGUCUUGCAUGUUUGAAUUUUUUUUUAAAUCUCACUGUUUGUUUUGUUAAUUGCAAGUUUACGGUGUUUGAAUCUGAUAUCUGGGAGGAUGAGUUGUUAUUUUUUUCCUUUAUUUAUUCAUGUUGUUUUAUGACUGCUUGCAUGUUCUGUAUCUGAUUUCACCAACUCUUUUUGGCUGUAUUUUUUAACAGUAGCUGCCAUGUGUUUGUUCCUGUUACAAGUGAUUACCAUCUGUUUGAGAAAAGGAAGGUAAGAAGAGAACACCAAUGGCAGUGAUGAUGGAGAAUCUGUUCUUUGCAGUGGAAACGACUGUCCAUGGGCAGCAUUCAGCCCAAUUUAUAAGAGCAGGGGUCAAAAUGCAAAAUGAAUGACAUGGGGAUUUGUUUAAUUUUAUCAAGUUUUGUACUGAGGUAAAACUCCCUCCCCAUUUUACAUAGUUUUAAAUGCUGAGAUGGGGAUAUGUGUAAAUAGGACUGUAAGUAUGGAGAAAUUUUUUAUUGUGACGGGAAUACGGGUGAUACACCCGUGUUUUUAUGUAAGUGGUGGAAAAUUUUAUUUUUUAAGUUACUAACUUUUUAGCACAUAUAUUCCACCAUUUAUAUAGUGACACAUGGUGUACCACCUCAUAUGCCGGUCAUAUUGAAAAAUCUCUCAUAAGUAUGGUUGUAUAUAUGUAAUAACAUAAUUGUAAACAUUGUUCUAAUUAUGUGUAACUAGAGAUGAAACCCGCACCAUCACGCAGGCUUUUUGGCUCGUGGAGU